UUUUAUGCCAUAUCAUGUUGAAAACAUCGUCUCACGUCCGAUCACCGAAGUUAACGUCGAUCCUAGUUAAUACUUAGAUGGGUGACCACUUGGGAAAUCUAGGUGCUGUAAACA
rnacentral:rRNA from 1 species